rnacentral:rRNA from 1 species
AGUGAACGCUGGCGGUAGGCCUAACACAUGCAAGUCGAACGGCAGCACAGUAAGAGCUUGCUCUUACGGGUGGCGAGUGGCGGACGGGUGAGGAAUACAUCGGAAUCUACUUUUUCGUGGGGGAUAACGUAGGGGAACUUACGCUAAUACCGCAUACGACGUACGGGUGAAAGCAGGGGAUCUUCGGACCUUGCGCGAUUGAAUGAGCCGAUGUCGGAUUAGCUAGUUGGCGGGGUAAAGGCCCACCAAGGCGACGAUCCGUAGCUGGUCUGAGAGGAUGAUCAGCCACACUGGAACUGAGACACGGUCCAGACUCCUACGGGAGGCAGCAGUGGGGAAUAUUGGACAAUGGGCGCAAGCCUGAUCCAGCCAUACCGCGUGGGUGAAGAAGGCCUUCGGGUUGUAAAGCCCUUUUGUUGGGAAAGAAAAGCAGCAGGUUAAUACCCCGCUGUUCUGACGGUACCCAAAGAAUAAGCACCGGCUAACUUCGUG